rnacentral:lncRNA from 1 species
CGUUUGGGUCAUGCCCACAGUUUUCACACCGAUUCUUCUUUUUCCUUUGUUUUCCAGCUGACACACUACUAUACGAUCCAAAUCCUCUUGCAGCAGUGUAAUGGAUAACCCUAUCUGGCUCGACAAGUAUUCCUGUUGCAUCAUAUAUAAUAACUUCAAUAAUUAAGGUAGGAUCAUAUGAUAUAUAUACACAUGUAGCUAUAGAUGUGAUCAUGGUGAGCAUACGAUAGGAUCAUAUGAUAUAUUAAGGUAGGAUCAUAUGAUAUAUUAAUCUUACAUUCUUACCAUGGUGAGCAUACGAUUUUCUUUUUCUGUAGCUAUAGAUGUGAUCACCUGGCUGAAGUUGGCUCCUGUCAACCUUGUUUGAUAAGAAUCCCAUCUCGAUCCCUUGUAUAGUAGAGUCGCAGUUACUGCAAAGUGGUAAUGCAGAGCAGACUGGACUGUACGCAAAGCUCUGUCUUCAAUGGUUUUAUAAU